AUGAAGACUGGGGCCGCAACCGAGCUACACGGGGUCCGGUGUGGGUGCGGCGAGGCGGCAUGCCCAGAGUGGGCGGUGGUGGAGGUGCAGGGCACGCUGCAGCCGCAGCCCUGCUCCUCCGGCCGCAUCCAAGGCCUCCACAUCGGCCGCCUCUGCUCCACUUCCUCCGCCCCGUCCUCCAAGGAAAGAACCACGAACUCUCCUCGUGGCGGUCGGGCGCGAAGAAUAAGAUGGCGGGGCGGCGCCUGCUCACGGUGCCCAGACGCGGAGAGGAAGGCGGUUGGCUGGUGCUGGCUUGCCACCGCCGCGCGCAGAGAUGGAGGCGAUGGAGCAAGGAAGGUGGUGGGGCGGCUUGCGGUGGCGAGCAUGGAGAGGAAGGCCGCUCAGGGGAGCCCUGGUCGCGCGGGGAGGGAGGCGCGACAGCGUCCUGGGAGUGGUGCUCCGGCGGUGGCGUUGGAAGAAGGUGGACGGGGGGUUGGGCGCGACGCGGGAAGGGAGGUGGUGUGGCGGCACGGCAGGGAGGUGGUCCGGCAGCACAGGGAGGUGGUCGUGCGGGGGUGGAGGUGGUCGUGCAAGAGUGGAGCACGGGGAGAGACAGAGGUGGAGGAGAGGAUAAGGUGGGUGGGUUGGGGUGUUAGCAGAAUAAGCCCCGGGUGUGCAAAAUAA
rnacentral:rRNA from 1 species